AGCUAAACGUCUGAUAUGAGAAGAAGCUUUUUUGUGAAUCUGGAAUGAGAAAUGUUUUUAUUAAACAGAUUUUUUUUUAUUUACCUGACGAGAUUUAAACCCGGGACCUCCUGCACUUCAGUCUAUGAUCUUAUCACUGCUGCAAUUUGUUCUUAAUCCCAACGUGGCUUAUUGUGAACCGUUGUUUCAAAGAAACUAAUUCCUCGUGGGAUUAAAAUUGGGAUUAAAAUGCAAAUUGCCAGCUGGCAAGAUCGCUGAUCAAGCUGAACGAAAAAA